GCCUUCGUGGUGUAGUGGUCAGCACGCUCGACGCGUAUUCGAGAGAUCCAUGGUUCGAGUCCCGACGAGGGCA
rnacentral:tRNA from 1 species